UGGAAACACGGUAAUUAACCGAGUAUGGAGCGCUAUCUAGUCGCAGCGAGUUAUGAAGGGCUUCCGUGACGCGCCUCCGUGAGCAGCCAUCUGACCACGUACCCCUCCGGAGAGUUGGCUGGCCCCGGGACGCUUCCGUUUCCUCCGGGCCUGCCCCGCCCAGGCCCCGCCUCCUGCCCCGCCCCUCGGCGCGGGAGCGCGCGCGCGCGUGCGGGAGGGGGCGGGUGGGGAAGCCGCGGCUCGAAGCUCCCGGAGGCGAGGCUCGCGCGCCCGCCCCCGCCCUGGCCCCAGCGCCCACCCGGUCGGCCCCGGCCCAGCCAUGAUCAAGGCCAUCCUCAUCUUCAACAACCACGGGAAGCCGCGGCUCUCCAAGUUCUACCAGCCCUAUAGUGAAGACACGCAACAGCAAAUCAUCAGGGAGACUUUCCAUUUGGUGUCUAAGCGCGAUGAGAACGUUUGUAAUUUCCUAGAAGGAGGAUUAUUAAUUGGAGGCUCUGACAACAAGCUCAUUUACAGACAUUAUGCAACACUAUAUUUUGUCUUCUGUGUGGACUCCUCAGAAAGUGAACUUGGCAUUUUAGAUCUAAUUCAAGUAUUUGUGGAAACAUUAGACAAAUGUUUUGAAAAUGUUUGUGAACUGGAUUUAAUAUUCCAUGUAGACAAGGUUCAUAAUAUUCUUGCAGAAAUGGUGAUGGGGGGAAUGGUAUUGGAGACCAACAUGAAUGAGAUUGUCACACAAAUUGAUGCACAAAAUAAACUGGAGAAAUCUGAGACCUUUAUCUUUCAGUCUCCCAGACAGGACAGGUAGACAAGCAAAUAGUUUACACUGGCCUAUUUUGUAUCAGUCAAGAUUUUUCUCAGGCUGGCUUAGCAGGAGCUCCAGCCCGUGCUGUAUCAGCUGUAAAGAAUAUGAAUCUUCCUGAGAUCCCAAGAAAUAUUAACAUUGGUGACAUCAGUAUAAAAGUGCCAAACCUGCCCUCUUUUAAAUAAGUAUUAAAAAGGCCACUCCCAGGUAAAAUCCAGAGGGAACGUCAUCUAAGUUUACCAUGCAAUUGUUUACCAAAAAUAGUGAAGGAGACUCUUAACUUUGCUCUUGGAGUUAAGUCAAGGUACUGUAUAGAAGCUGCAUAAAAUCAGUAUGGAAGUUCAAUGUUGCUUUUCUUGCUCAGUGAUUUUAAAGAAAUUGACUAGCUCCCGUGUGAUUUUGUUUUGUUUUGUUUUUCUUUUCUUUUCUAAAUUGCAUUCCUAUGCCCACAUAAAGGCAUGCCUCUAUAUAUUGGCUAUUACAGUAUUUCGAAAAGUGAGAUGUUUCUUUAAUUAUGUACAACCCAAAAUGUUGAUGUUUUGUAUGGAUCACAAGUGCAGCAUUCUCUAAUUCUUUCUGCUGUUUGUCACAAUUGUUAUUUAAAGAACCAAGUAUGUAUUGCAUGAAAACAUGACCUUUUCUUUAGUUUAAAUAAACUCCAAGGUAACUGGACUUCUAAAGUACCUUUCUGUUUUGCUUGGUAUCUACUUUAGCAAUAAUUUUUUUUUACAAUCUUCUGACUCAACAAAGUAAAUAAAAGUAUAUUUUCCCACUGUUAA